UACGUAGGGGGCAAGCGUUGUCCGGAUUUAUUGGGCGUAAAGAGCGUGUAGGCGGUUAGGUAGGUCCGUUGUGAAAACUCGAGGCUCAACCUCGAGACGCCGAUGGAAACCACCUAACUAGAGUCCGGAAGAGGAGAGUGGAAUUCCUGGUGUAGCGGUGAAAUGCGCAGAUAUCAGGAAGAACACCCGUGGCUAAGGCGGCUCUCUAGUACGGUACUGACGCUGAGACGCGAAAGCGUGGGGAGCGAACAGG
rnacentral:rRNA from 1 species